UCAACACCUAGCAAGAGAAAUAAAGGGAAUACAGAUUAAUGGGCAGCAGCUGUAUUUUUGUUCUGCUUUAAGCCGUCUCACACGCUGUUUUAUUAGGAGAUGCUGCCCACAAAGCAAAAGCCUCCUCUUUCAUGUGCCUGACAAACAGAAACACUGCUGGGUUCCAGGAGCUGUUGGGGAAGAUGGACUUUGGCCAGCAAAAAUAAUAGCUAUACAGAUAUCAGCUAUGGAGAAGAAAUGAACACGCUGUUCUCUCCAGGCUCUAACGUAUGGCAAACAAGACCUUAUGACAGGGUGAGCCCGCAGCACUGUCCUGCUGCUAAUCAGAGCGUACGAUGUGAGUCAGGACGGCAGAAUCUCCCUGGGUGGUGUCUGCUCAUCUUCUGGUGACACAUUGUCUGCCUGAGUGUCCUGGGGACCACGAUGCCCAAGGGAAAGCUCAAGGCAUCCCAUCCCUAUGGAAGGAGGCUUCGCCAUCUCCAUCUCCUCCACUGAAGGCAGCAUUGCAGCACAGCUGAGCGGUGGCUCACCCUGUACCACACUGCUCGUCUGUCUUAGGCCCAAGAUAGAAGAUAAAUUUCCCCAACCCCCUUUCUGUGUAUUAAUUGCAAGGCAACAGCCCUUCCUCCAUUUGGGAUCCAGUUCAAGAAAGCACUUAGGCAGCCACUUUACAACGCCAAUGGCUUUCAGGGGACUUCAGCAAACUAUUUCAAUCAAAUCUAUGCAAAACCUCAAGCUCUCAUCACCCCCUCACCCAAAAACCAGAUACCACCAGCAACAAGCAAAGCUUUUCUCAAUGGUUUGGGUGCAUUGCUCCAGGCAGUGCACGGCAGUGUUGGAGCAGCCUGCAGCCCCACAGCACUCACUCUGGAAUUCCUGCACCACGGGUUUGGUGUUGCUGGAUGUCAGCUCCACAGCCAAGAGUCUGUAGCCUGGAAAAAUAAACAGAAGAGAAUAAGAAAUAGCACAGCUCAUAAUUCACCCUGCUAGAAGCACAUCGCAUGUUGGGAAUAGCUCUCCUCCAGCUCCAAGGCCUGACUUCCCGACAUAGAAGCUGUUCCGCGCUACCCAUGGCAGUCCAGCAUGACGAAGUUUAUUUAGGAGCUGUGGUGUAAAUACAGGAAAACAUAAUUGUUAGAAGCAGCAAUUAAAGAGGGUGAUUAGCAUAACGGCACAAAGCCAGUGCCAACACAAGCCACCUCCCUGUGCUUCACACUUAGGUAAUAAUGGGAGGGAAAGGGACAUAUGACAGAGGUUCCUUAAAGGAAACUCGAUGUUCCUGUGUUUUUUUUCUUGUUCUUGUUUACAAGAGAUCAUUUUUCAGAUAAGAGAAAUACGCCCCACCAAAUAGAUAAGAGUCUGACUGAAGAACUUCUGGUCUUUGAAGGUCCCUUCUAACUGAGCCAUUCCAUUCUAUUCUCCCAUAGCCACAACACAGCUGGAAGCAGAGAUGACAUUACCACGAUCUCACAUCAUUCUAAAGAAUUGAAGGCUCCAGCAGCUCUUUUCCAUGAGACAGGGACUCCAUCAGACUCUGCCCCAUCUCAAUUCUCAGAGGUUAUUCCCAGCAGCAUCCUUCCUUUCCCACCCAUUAAACACAAGAGCAUUCAGGUCUAUCCCUCAGGCACAAAGCAGGAUGGCAAUGAAUUUGAGGCAGAAGCUGAGUCCUUGGGGGCUGUGCAAGAGCCUCACAUUAUUACACGUAUUGACUGCGGGCAGAGAUCAACGUGGCUGCUUCAAUCACCUCUAAGCCACAUUUAUUCUUCUGUGCAUGGCACAGGCACGCUCUAAAUAACGAGAUGCCUACAGCUGCGUGGCACAGAACUCCCCAGUGAGCACACAGACUGUAAAGCAGGAGCAAAACAUCUUUACAGCUCUUCUCAGCAUCACUUGGAGGUAUCCCUUUCACACCGGUCUCUGUAGGGCUGGAGCAAUUUAACACAGGCAUUGCUUCCCAGCUGCCAGCACCGUGCAGCAUCUGCACUGUGUCUCAUAGCUCUGCUGUUGGCCUCGUCUCUUUGGUGACUGUGCUCGUGCACCCGCUUUGCGUUACAUCAUCCUCAUAGGGGCAGCUGUCACCCUUAAAAAGUUUGAUCUGAAGAUGUUCCUUCAGGCAUCUACGGGCCCAGUGCAAAGCAAGCAGCGAAAGCUCUGUGUUAUGUAAAUCCCACUUGAAAGGUCUCAGCACCCAGACUGUGCAGGAGAAGGCAUGCACUCCUUCCCAGAGCAGCAUGCAUGCCACAACAGAGGCACCCACCAGAUCUGUAUGUACUGUGGGCUCAGCCAGACAUAUGGUUGAAUCCCAAAUGCCAUCAGCUCUCCAAAUAGACUUCAGUGCCUCGUCCUGGAUUUUACAGCGUAUUCUUAUGGAGCUUCUUUUAGCUGAAGGGAGCCAGCCCAUGCAUGUUGCUGUGACUCAUGGUAUCUGAAUCACUUCAAAACGCUGCUCUGAACCUACAGAAGAAAUAAACUAGCGGCUUUAUAGACAACUGGGCUGUGUUAAGCCUCCCGUCUCUGGCUUAAUGCAAAGCCUGACCUUUUUGUCUCCAUCCACCCCAACCUUUUAUCUGCUUAAAAAUUCAAGGCAGAAAUUUGAAGAGGAGCUAAAAUAUCCCUUACGUUGGACAGGCAACGUCAAAAGGAUGGCCAGGAAAACACCAAGUUGCUGCCAAAGAGGCUGCGCUGCAGCAAAGCACAGCCCUGUGCCAACGGUGCAGUUAUCUGAUACGGUAAUUGAAGUUAAUGCACUGUUAGGCACAAGCAGUAGGAAAACAUGCAGCUGUAUUUCAACACCCACCCACUGGAGAAACGAAAAUACGCCUUUCUUGAGGUGUCCAUCAGCCCUCCAUUUGCAAUUCAAAACGCAUCGUCUAAGCCAUGUGGGAAUGCUGCAAUAAGCCACACGCCUUGUUAAGCAUCUCUGCUUUUCUGGAUGGCAGGAAUGCCAUGAAGGUGAGAGAUUGGUAGGUGUUAGAAACCCAUCAGCCCAACGCUUUGUGUGUCAGCACUAACAGCACCCAGAGAUGGAGUGAAGGGAGCAGUAGUGAGGGUACAUCACAGAGGUGAUGGGGGCAGUGGGUGUGAGACAAGCCCAGCUGACCCCAGCACUGUCCCUGCGUUGGAUGUGCUGUGCAGGAAGGGAAAUAGCUGUUCUAUUUGUGAGAAACCCCCAGAGGGACAGCAAAGGAAGCCCGCAGUGCUGGGCUGAGCUGGAUAAGAGGAGGAAGAAGGAGGCCAGGCUCUGCGUGCUGCUUGCUCUGAGGAAAUGGCAGAAAACUGAAGAAACAUCUGACCUCCUGCACCACAAAACAUCCAUCCCUUUUUCUCUUUUCAGGCUCUUUUUCCUCUUCUCUGUCCCCAGUGCAUCUCACUCCUGAUCCACAACUCAACCUGUGCCAGCGCAGCCAAGGUGGGGCAGGAUGGGUGAUAGAAUGUGUUAUACGAAUGAGACCCCAAAAGAUCAUAGAGUCCUCAUCAGGGUGUCUCACUGCCUUUCUCAGUGAUGGUUCCUUUACAUCUGCUUUCAGCCCCUGCCUCCAGACCAUGAGGAGCUGGUGGUCCAUCAUGUGCUGAUGAGGCUCUUUGUGAGAGCAAAGUCUGCACUGAGGAUGGCUGGGGAAGCAUCCAGACAGAGCUGCAUGCCCUUCUUAUACCACAGCUCUCAAUGUGUAGAACAAAACCUUAACCUGUUUAAAUCACUUAAACCAUCACCUUCAAGACCUGACUGUAUUUGCUACAGACGAGGCCCAUUGGCAUCCAAACCAUGCACACCAUCUUUCAUUUUUUCCCCUUCCCUUCUUGUACAAGAGGAUUUACUGUUCCACCUCCUCACCAGACAACAAAACCAUUGGUACACAGCCAGCCUACGCAACCACACUCAGUUGUGAAACAAGUUGUUAGCAAGCAGAUACAGAACCCUGUUAAGACAAAAGCUUCUCAAAGCAGCCUCCUUCUGCAGAUAACCCUUCCUCCUCUCUCCCAUGCAGGGAAGGAAGCUCAGCCAUUUGCCCGAUGAACCACGUGGUGCUUUCUGAUCAUCUCCCAAGAUCUGGUUUCGUUGUGCUGGGUUGCAGUUGCAGACACGCUGCCUCCAACAUCCAUCUGACAAGGGCUUCUGGAGGGAAGAAUUUCACAAUCCUUGGUUGUGGCUCUGCUCAAGGCAGCACAGCAUGUUUACAGGUGAGAUAUUAAGGCCUUGCAUCCCUCUGCACUUGCACAACAAAACAGCCUAUUCUCACCACCAGGUUUGCUCACCAUCAGAUUUGGAUCUGCAAAUCCAGAGGCCCAUGCCAGGAGGAGGCAUCACGAGCCACAUGCCAGAGCUGUCUCAACAGGUAGGUUUCAAGCUUACUAACACCUUAGCACACACAUGAACCCUUGGCUGGGCAUGUUGAGCUUGGAUAUUAUCUACCAGUAGGUUCUUGUGCUCUCUUCUCCCUAAGAGAGCAUGGAUGCUUUAGGAGAAGCAGCAAUGAACCAGGUUGGCAACCUGCUGAGAUUCCCGUUGGCAGAGCUUCCCCAUGACCACUUUCAUCUGUUACUGGGUUUUACAUUCAUCAGUUAAUCUUUGGUCUUCCCAGAUGCAGUGUCCCCUCCAACUCAGCCCCAUUUCACUGGAGGAAGACGAUGAGUAAGGAAUACAGUAUAUCAGCAUGCAAAGGAUGUAUGACUGUGAGAUCUGGAAGAAUGCCUUACAGCAGCGAAAUUAAAGGCUGGGAACAAAAACGCACCUCCAAAGGAAACAGUGGAAACCUUUUGUUCGUAAAAGUCACAACUAAAAUCGGACUGGAUAAAGCUUAAGGAAAUACCUCUCAGAGGACAACCCUGCCUUGGCUGCUGGAAACAGAUGAG